rnacentral:sRNA from 1 species
CUUCCUCGAUCUGCUGCGGGCAGAUGAAAUGGAUAUGCGGGUCGAUGCCGCCCGCCGUCAGGAUUUUUCCCUCGCCGGCGAUGAUCUCGGUGCCCGGGCCGAUGACGAUGGUGACGCCCGGCUGGGUGUCGGGGUUGCCGGCCUUGCCGAUGGCGGCGAUGCGGCCGUCCUUCAGCCCGAUAUCGGCCUUCACGAUGCCGGAAUGGUCGAUCACCACGGCAUUGGUGAUCACCGUGUCCAUGGCGCCGCCGGCACGGCUGACCUGGCUCUGGCCCAUGCCGUCGCGGAU